GAUGAAGAACGUAGCGAAAUGCGAUAAGUAAUGCGAAUUGCAGAAUUUCCGUGAAUCAUCGAGUCUUUGAACGCACAUUGCGCCCCCUGGUAUUCCGGGGGGCAUGCCUGUCCGAGCGUCAUUGCUGCCCUCAAGCACGGCUUGUGUGUUGGGCCUCCGCCCCCCGGCUCCCGGGGGGCGGGCCCGAAAGGCAGCGGCGGCACCGCGUCCGGUCCUCGAGCGUAUGGGGCUUCGUCACCCGCUCCGUAGGCCCGGCCGGCGCCCGCCGGCGACCCCCCUCAAUCUUUCCAGGUUGACCUCGGAUCAGGUAGGGAUACCCGCUGAACUUAAGCAUAUCAAUAAGCGGAGGA
rnacentral:misc_RNA from 1 species